GAGGGUAUGUUCAGUGAUAGAGUGUGUGCUUAGCAUGCACGAGGUCCUGGGUUCAAUUCCCAGUGCCUCCA
rnacentral:tRNA from 1 species